UCAAAGAUUAAGCCAUGCAUGUCUUAGUACAAGUUAAAUAAGAGAGCGAAACCGCGAAUGGCUCAUUAAAUCAGCUGUGAUUUAUUUGUACCUAAAACCCUGUUUUUCUUGGAUAACUGUGGUAAUUCUAGAGCUAAUACAUGCACAUAUAUAGUCCCUGACCUGACAGUCAGGGCGCUCUUAUUAGUAUAAAGGCUGAAAACAGGUUGUUUUAUAUCUGUAUACCAAAUAAUAUGUUGACUCUGGAUAAUUUAGGGCUGAGCGCACAGUCUUUGUACUGGUGCUGCUUCUUUCAAGUGUCUGCCUUAUCAGCUGUCGUUUGUAUGUUAUGUGUGUACAGUGGCUAUAACGGGUGACGGGGAAUAAGGGUUCGAUUCCGGAGAGGGAGCCUGAGAAACGGCUACCACAUCUAAGGAAGGCAGCAGGCACGCAAAUUACCCACUCCCGGCACGGGGAGGUAGUGACGAAAAAUAACGAUGCGAGACUCAUCCGAGGCCUCGCAAUCGGAAUGAGUACACUUUAAAUCCUUUAACCAGGAUCCAUUGGAGGGCAAGUCUGGUGCCAGCAGCCGCGGUAAUUCCAGCUCCAAUAGCAUAUAUUAAAGUUGUUGCGGUUAAAAAGCUCGUAGUUGGAUUACAGUUGUGGACUGAUGGUACUUCACCACAUGGUGUUUACUAUCACGCUCUAAAACCGCUUAACAACCUAAUAGUUGUUUGAGCUCCACCAGUUCGCAUGGGAUGCUCUUGACCGAGUGUCCUGAGUGGCUGGUAUGUUUACUUUGAAAAAAUUAGAGUGCUCAGAGCAGGCUAUUUGAAUUGCCUGAAUGACUAUGCAUAGAAUAAUAUAAAAGGACCUGGAUUCUAUUUUGUCAGUUACCUUUGGAAUACCCGGUAAUGACUAAUAGAAAUAAGAGGGGGCAUUUGUACUGUGUCGCUAGAGGUGAAAUUCUUGGACCGCCACAAGACAGACUAAAGCGAAGGCAUUUGCCAAGGAUGUUUUCAUUAAUCAAGAACGAAAGUUAGAGGUUCGAAGGCGAUCAGAUACCGCCCUAGUUCUAACCAUAAACGAUGCUAACCAGCAAUCCGCCGGUGUUAUUACAAUGACCCGGCGGGCAGCUUCCGGGAAACCAAAGUCUUUGAGUUUCGGGGGAAGUAUGGUUGCAAAGCUGAAACUUAAAGGAAUUGACGGAAGGGCACCACCAGGAGUGGAGCCUGCGGCUUAAUUUGACUCAACACGGGAAACCUCACCAGGCCCAGACACUGGAAGGAUUGACAGAUUGAGAGCUCUUUCUCGAUUCAGUGGGUGGUGGUGCAUGGCCGUUCUUAGUUGGU
rnacentral:rRNA from 2 species